GCCGGGUGUGGUAGCGUGCGCCUGUAAUCCCAGCUACUGAGGAGGCUGAGGCUGGAGAAUCACUUGCACCCAGGAGGCAGAGGUUGCAGUGAGCCAAGAUUGCACCACUGCACUCCAGCCUGGGUGACAGAGUGAGACUCUGUCUCAA
rfam:Gorilla gorilla gorilla genomic chromosome, chr3, whole genome shotgun sequence